AAAGCAAAAUAUAUUUCCAUUGCAUUUGUCAUCCAAGAAAUGAAGUACGACUCCUAGUUUGCACCACCUAGAUGUUCUUAAAUAGGACAAAAGCCUAUUUUACAACCAAGUUCAAACUGCUUUGACAACUAAAUUUUCUUUCCUUCCUGCUUCAGUUACCAUAUAGAUCACAUAAAUUUCCUAAGUCAAAGUGUAAACAAGGCUACAAGGAAUCAUACAAACUCAGGCUGAUAAAAAUUUUAAUAUGUUGAAAUUACUCACAGAUUAUCUGAAUAAUAUGAGGACAUCAACUGUUGAAAAGACUGAAAAAGUACACUAAAUCAGAACUUAUUUUUGCUCUGUAGCCGUUGCAGAAAACAAAUCAACUUCACAAAAUCUCAGAUAUAUUUAUAGGCAUUUCAGCUAUGACAAGGCUGCUGCUCUCUUCAACACUUUUAAGAGUCACCACUUCUCCCCCAACAACCAUAUUGAUCACAAUCCCAUCUGCCCCCAAACAACUAGCUAUUCGUCUUGCAUAUGUUUCCUUCUUCAUUGGUAACUCGUAAUUAAUCAGAAUACGAGCAGAAAAGGGCGACUCCCCAGCAGCAAGAAGAGGAAGGCAAGCAUCUGUUACAACUAUCAUAUGAGAUUUGUCCUCAUCUUUUUCAAUUUCUUCAUCUCCUGACUGAACAGUGACAUUCUGGUUCCACCUCAUUGUUGAUUGCUUAAAUUUCUCCAAUACUAAGGUUCGAUCUGAUUCAGCUAGGUCACUGUACAGAGAAUCGAGAGAAAUGUAAGGGAGGUUAGAGACGGCAGAGCAAACGGCGUCGAGCUCGUCCCUAGAGCUGCAGCACAGCACCAUCGGCAGCCCAGAGCGGCGCCCCGCGACGCCUAGUAAGUCCACCAAUGUCUCCUGGCAAUUCAAUGUAAGUCGAUUUCUUUCGAAACUAAGCAACAUUUUGAACUGGUGUCUGUCAACGGCAACAUAGAAGUGACGCUGUUGACUGGAGUGUGAAGGAGACUGAGAAGUAGGAGAAGCGACUUCAGUUGCAUCCACUAUUGCCAUUUCCCACAAAGCACGAACUCAGCACCAAACACUCGCUAAUUAUACCGGGAGCUCUCUUUCUCAUACAAA
rnacentral:misc_RNA from 1 species